rnacentral:rRNA from 1 species
GCAGUGGGUACGGGCAGACUAGAGUGCGGUAGGGGAGAUUGGAAUUCCUGGUGUAGCGGUGGAAUGCGCAGAUAUCAGGAGGAACACCGAUGGCGAAGGCAGAUCUCUGGGCCGUAACUGACGCUGAGGAGCGAAAGGGUGGGGAGCAAACAGGCUUAGAUACCCUGGUAGUCCACCCCGUAAACGUUGGGAACUAGUUGUGGGGUCCAUUCCACGGAUUCCGUGACGCAGCUAACGCAUUAAGUUCCCCGCCUGGGGAGUACGGCCGCAAGGCUAAAACUCAAAGGAAUUGACGGGGACCCGCACAAGCGGCGGAGCAUGCGGAUUAAUUCGAUGCAACGCGAAGAACCUUACCAAGGCUUGACAUAUACGAGAACGGGCCAGAAAUGGUCAACUCUUUGGACACUCGUAAACAGGUGGUGCAUGGUUGUCGUCAGCUCGUGUCGUGAGAUGUUGGGUUAAGUCCCGCAACGAGCGCAACCCUCGUUCUAUGUUGCCAGCACGUAAUGGUGGGAACUCAUGGGAUACUGCCGGGGUCAACUCGGAGGAAGGUGGGGAUGACGUCAAAUCAUCAUGCCCCUUAUGUCUUGGGCUUCACGCAUGCUACAAUGGCCGGUACAAAGGGCUGCAAUACCGCGAGGUGGAGCGAAUCCCAAAAAGCCGGUCCCAGUUCGGAUUGAGGUCUGCAACUCGACCUCAUGAAGUCGGAGUCGCUAGUAAUCGCAGAUCAGCAACGCUGCGGUGAAUACGUUCCCGGGUCUUGUACACACCGCCCGUCAAGUCAUGAAAGUCGGUAACACCUGAAGCCGGUGGCCUAACCCUU